rnacentral:rRNA from 1 species
AGCGAACGCUGGCGGCAGGCCUAACACAUGCAAGUCGAACGAAGCCUUCGGGCUUAGUGGCGGACGGGUGAGUAACACGUGGGAACGUACCUUUUGGUUCGGAACAACUCAGGGAAACUUGAGCUAAUACCGGAUGAGCCCUUAGGGGGAAAGAUUGAUCGCCGAAAGAGCGGCCCGCGUUAGAUUAGCUAGUUGGUGAUGUAAAGGCUCACCAAGGCUACGAUCUAUAGCUGGUCUGAGAGGAUGAUCAGCCACACUGGGACUGAGACACGGCCCAGACUCCUACGGGAGGCAGCGGUGGCGAAUCUUGCGCAAUGGGCGAAAGCCUGACGCAGCCAUGCCGCGUGAAUGAUGAAGGUCUUAGGAUUGUAAAAUUCUUUUACCAGGGACGAUAAUGACGGUACCUGGAGAAAAAGCCCCGGCUAACUUCGUGCCAGCCGCCGCGGUAACAC